rnacentral:rRNA from 1 species
UACGUAGGGUGCAAGCGUUGUCCGGAAUUAUUGGGCGUAAAGAGCUCGUAGGCGGUCUGUCGCGUCGAUCGUGAAAACUUGGGGCUUAACCCUGAGCUUGCGGUCGAUACGGGCAUGACUGGAGUUCGGCAGGGGAGCGUGGAAUUCCUGGUGUAGCGGUGAAAUGCGCAGAUAUCAGGAGGAACACCAGCGGCGAAGGCGGCGCUCUGGGCCGGAACUGACGCUGAGGAGCGAAAGCGUGGGGAGCGAACAGG